UCGCAAGUUUUCUUACAUUCAUUUCGCAUAAUCGACUGUUAAAAAAAGUUAAAUCGUCCAAUUAUGGCGCUUACGACAGAAAACCAAACAGGUACCAUUUUCGCGAAAAAGAAACGAAUCUGGAUCAGUUUUCAGUUUAGUCACAUGCCUUCUAGAUCAGCAUUUUCGAACUGAAAGCACGUAUUAUGCAAAUAUAGACACAAGCCUAUAGUAUCAGUGAUCUCAUACACAAUUCAGAUCAAUAAAUAUCGGAAUUUGGAGGUGGAAUGUCUAUUACUUCCUUCGGAAUCUUAUUUUCAAUAUGCAAACAAAUUACGGAUACAGAAAGCGGAUACAUUUUUUGAAAUUUAAAUAUUUAAACUGCAGAAUAUAAGAUCUAGGUGCUCCUUGUUACGUGAAGGUUGGGAGACGAUCCUUCGUUAGGAGACGUCUUCGAGCAUACGGUGACCCUUUCCCGUCAACUAACUUUUAAAAGUCAUCUGAUCCUGAUGAUGACGAUGAUGAUGAUGAUGAUGAUGAUGAUGAUGAUGAUGAUGAUGAUGAUGAUGAUGAUGAUGAAAGAAAGUCUUAGUUCAUAUUUAUCAACAUAUUUUUAUAAUUGCAUUUUUUUCGUAAUCUUGUUCAAGAGAUUUGGGUUUUAUUUACUUAAAGGUAAUGGUAAGUACUGCCCAACGCAGAAUAUUUUUAGAAUCGGCAAUGUUCCAUUUUGCGUUUGCAGCAAUGCAAUUAUUCACUUGUCACUCUAUUCCGCUUCUCAGACUUGUGAUUGUACUCCUUACUUCCUCACGGUCUUUCCAUUCUUUCGAGUACAAUGACUUGCCUUUGAAAUCGAAAAUUUAAUUUUUGGGCCAAGCCCAGAAAAAUUUUAAACUAAAAGGCUGUUUUUAUUUCUUCUCUAUAAGACGUUUUAUUUGAAGAAAUCAAGAAAUAAUAAGAUGAAGUAUUCCUUAGUUUUUCGACAAUAAUGUCCUUUUCUUCUCUGACAAACAGUCCAAAAAUGCGAAGGAGAGAUUAUUGGUUUGGAAAUUCUGUUUGACACCAAAAGCAUUAAAUUAAAAGGCUUAGAGAUUAGAAAGUAUGCCAAUUUUUAUAAUCUCAUCAUUUCUAAAUUAUACAAAUCUAAACAGUGUUCCAAUUCAAAUGUUUAAAAUAAGUCUUUUGACGAAAGUUACUUUUUCCAUAAUCUUCUACAUGCCAGAUAAUUGUUUUUUUUUCAGUUUGUUUGCCAAACUUGCAUGGUUUUUCAGUGGGUUUCUAACAUAAGCUUAAUUUAUUAUUGAACUUGUUACAUAAAGUUUAAGUUACAUUCCAAAUAUUAUACUAA